rnacentral:lncRNA from 1 species
UGCACAACGUGCCCCGAGUGGAGGAACCGGGUGGCCCGCAGGAGCUGGUAGAAGAUGGAGCGCACGUGGACGUCCUGCAGCAGGCCGCCCUUCCGGAUGACUGCGUUCAGGGUACAUGGUGAGGGAGCAAGCCACUGUGGGCCAGCUGCAGAGGGACACGCAGGGGGACACGCAGAGGGACCCGCAGACGGCGUCAGGACAGAACAGAGGUGGGGCUGGGGCGCUGGCCGGGGCCUCACUCACCCAUAAACUCAAACACCAGGUAAAUGUCCCUGUCGUUCUCUGCCCGGAUCACGUCAGGAGCCAGGUUCCUGGGAGUCAGGAUCGUGUUACCCCAUGAGGAAACUGAGGCACGAAGGGGCUCCAGACCACCUCUCCCGCCUACGGAGGAGGCA